rnacentral:rRNA from 1 species
UACAGGGGGGGCAAGCGUUGUUCGGAAUUACUGGGCGUAAAGGGCUCGUAGGUGGCCAACUAAGUCAGACGUGAAAUCCCUCAGCUUAACUGGGGAACUGCGUCUGAUACUGGAUGGCUUGAGUUUGGGAGAGGGAUGCGGAAUUCCAGGUGUAGCGGUGAAAUGCGUAGAGAUCGGGAAGAACAUCAGUGGCGAAGGCGGUCUGCUGGGCCGUUGCUGACGCUGAGGCGCGACAGCGUGGGGAGCAAACAGG